rnacentral:rRNA from 1 species
AUUGAACGCUGGCGGCAGGCCUAACACAUGCAAGUCGAGCGGAUGAAGGGAGCUUGCUCCUGGAUUCAGCGGCGGACGGGUGAGUAAUGCCUAGGAAUCUGCCUGGUAGUGGGGGACGACGUUUCGAAAGGAACGCUAAUACCGCAUACGUCCUACGGGAGAAAGCAGGGGACCUUCGGGCCUUGCGCUAUCAGAUGAGCCUAGGUCGGAUUAGCUAGUUGGUGAGGUAAUGGCUCACCAAGGCGACGAUCCGUAACUGGUCUGAGAGGAUGAUCAGUCAGACUGGAACUGAGACACGGUCCAGACUCCUACGGGAGGCAGAAGUGGGGAAUAUUGGACAAUGGGCGAAAGCCUGAUCCAGCCAUGCCGCGUGUGUGAAGAAGGUCUUCGGAUUGUAAAGCACUUUAAGUUGGGAGGAAGGGUCGUUACCUAAUACGUGACGAUUUUGACGUUACCGACAGAAUAAGCACCGGCUAACUCUGUGCCAGCCGCCGCCGUAAGAC